rnacentral:rRNA from 1 species
GACAGAGGGUGCAAACGUUGUUCGGAAUCACUGGGCGUAAAGCGCACGCAGGCGGAUCGUUAAGUCAGGGGUGAAAUGCCGAGGCUCAACCUCGGAACUGCCUUUGAUACUGGCGAUCUUAGAGUCCGGGAGAGGUGAGUGGAACUCCGAGUGUAGAGGUGAAAUUCGUAGAUAUUCGGAAGAACACCAGUGGCGAAGGCGGCUCACUGGCCCGGUACUGACGCUCAGGUGCGAAAGCGUGGGGAGCAAACAGG